UUUCCUGACUUCUGCACACCUGCCUUCCAGCAGUAAAAAUGUGCCGUGGCUUUGAUUUUUAAGUAGGUGCGUUGUUUUCUUUAAAGAAGACAAGCUGUUCUCUUACGCCGUGUUCAGGCACAGAGACCUUGCUGUGGCUCUCCAGUACUUGAGGGGAGCUUAUGAACAGGAGGGGGAAACAGAAGUCCUGACUUUGCCUGCCCAGGCUCUUGUCAGAUUUUCCCUGCAGAUAAGCAGCUGUGCCUGUCUUCUCAAAGUUCUCACCCAGGUCAGCCUUCUGCUUGAAACCGCUGCUUAUUGUCAGCCUCCUGCAUAAUAAUCCUCCACACGGGAGUGGAAAGAUCUGAUCUGACUCCAUCAUCUUUUUGAAGAAAUCAGAGGUUCCUCACCUCUCUUAGUAGCAAGUUUUGACAUUACGUUAUAACCUGGCUCUGUGGUUGAAGCUGUGCCACAAACAGAAGACACAUAAUUCAUUUAGCUAGUAUGAGACCACCGAGACUGAAACUGUGGUUUAAGUGUUUGUCCAGCAGAGGGAAGUCGUAGCCUCUGGCUGUAUUACAAGCUCUUUCAGAGCAGAAAUCCAGUGGCUUUAAGAUGCAAUGAAUAAGCAGCCUUGACCAUCUGUUUUCUCUCACUGGUCAGGAUCCUUUGAGUCGUGAUUUCAGGUGUAGAAAUUUGGUACCUGUGUCUUAGCGUGUCAUUCUAGUCUUCUUUACAGAGAAAAACAAUUUGUUUUCUACCAUCGGUUGAGAUGCAUUUUGCACUGAAGCUCUCUCCAGUGGCUAUAAAAGGAACCUAGGUAACUAGUUUAGACACAGGAAUUUCACAGGUCAGCACUUAGAUUAAGCCACACAAAUUUUAAUCCUGUUGGCCAUAGCUGCCAACACAACAUUGGUGUUAGGAUGAGAAACAUCAAUCUUGCUACCCUUUUGCCUGUUUCUUCCACUGAGUUGCUGCAGACUGACAAUUAGGACAUAGCAAAUAACUUAAUAUCAGCAUAAUGGCCAUUAUGCUCUCAGGUAGUUGAAGAAACAAAACAUCUUUGUAGAGAGGCUUUCCCUUUCCUUUGUCUAGCGUAUUGCUUUAUAAUAACAUUUAUUCCUGUAGUUAAAGCCAUUUUUUUUUUCUGCAAUUGACUCUCUGUACUUUAAGGUUUCCGUGGCAAGCGAUUGCUGUAUUUUGUGCUUUCCACAGAAAAUAUAACCAACUAAUCAUGCCCUGGAGUGUCUCUGCUUACUUUCCUGCUUCCUCAUAUUCUGCCAGGGCAGGAAGGAAAGCCUGCAGUGAUAGUUGUAGGGUGUAUUUGCAAGCAGUUACUGUGUGUAAACUUGUUAUCUAGCCUCGAGCUGGCAGAACAGAUGAGUGGAUGAUGUGUUGCUGCUGCCACUGUGUAUUGUUUAUCCAUUUUACAUUUCCUCAAACACGACAUCUUCUUGUGGCUUUGCUUUCCUUAGUUAUCAAGAAAUAGGUAUGUUUUAUAGACCUAGCCAUGCUAAAGGCUGAAAUGGCUUUGUGGAGUUGUUGGGGGAUGAAAGGCUUGUCCAGUACCACUCUACCAAACUCUAACCUUGUCAGAUCUGGUGGAGAAAGGUGCAACGCCUACUCUUCAGGCUUCCUGGAAAGCUGAACCUCUAAUGUAAUGCUCAGACUGUGAGGAGAUCUAUGAAAUUUCUUGUAACAAAUCCUCCCAAAUUGGCAACAUCUGUCCAUCUGCUCAGCACUAAUUGCAUCCAGAAAAAAAAUUGCACGUAAGGCUGGAAAUAAGGGAGUGGUGCAUACUGGAGAAGAGGAAGCAGACAGCACAUCCUGCAGAAGAAAACUAAGCGUCCCCAAAUCUCAUGCAUUUCAUUACUUAAUACAUUUGACAGCCUUUCUUGUACAUUCUGGGACCCAAAGGUUUAAACCUCUUUGAUUUUUAUCUACAUUCCCAGAAUGUUCCUGGCCUAACCCUUUAGUUCUUCUUUAGUUUAUACACACCCAAGCUGACUAAACAUGAUUGAUGCCCACUUGUGUCUUCAGGGUAAACAGAGACAUCCCUUCACCUUGGCUUUGUUCCUCUGAGUCUGUAGAAACACUGGGGAUACAACAUCAGCAGUGCAAGGACACAGAUUGUAGCUGUUGGCUGGAGAAAACUAGAAAGAUCUUGCUUACCUCAUGCAUGACUAGCUGUGAUCUAAGUCAAGACAUGCUUCAUGUUGUAUACUGCUAUAUCAAAUGGCUGGUUUUUGCAACAAGACAACUGGAAAAUAUUAUAAAAGGAUCUCAGCCUGAAAAUUGCCAGUAGACACAGAAUGUAAGUUACAAUUCUUCAGAAGCAAACCUGUCACAUGAGCAGUCCCAAAGUGCUUUUUGUUUAUCUUCACAAGCAGUUAGCAAGCACCUGAUAUAAACUUUGUUUGUUGUGAUAGCAACUGCUGCUCUCAUAGGAAACAUUACAAAAAAAAACCUAAUUUUACUCAGAUCUCCUUUAUAUUAGAAAGUGUGUAUUUUUCCAGCAAUUUUUGCUAGCACACAAAAUACGAUACCAGUCUUAAUGACUUUACAGCAUCCCCACUUGAUAUGCUAGCAUAAAAAAUAACAGCGAAUGUUUCUGUUUGCAAGAAAACAAACUCUUAUCUGCUUUCCUUUUUUUUUUUUUUUUUUACCCUGAAGAAACUGAAAUCAUCUGUAGAAAAUCAGUACUAUUUUCCAUUUAGAUGGUAAUUUCAGGGGAUCUUGUGAACUAUUAGUCGAGAAAAUGUGAUUGCUAAUGGGUCAUGUACCUACAGCUACAGCAUUAUAGAGCAAGUAGACUGUUGUUUUCACCUACUCUAAGCAGAGUACUAAGACAAUGCUAUUGUACAUAAAAUGAGUAAUAUGCUUCAAGUAACUGACAUUUACCAGCAUGUCAAGUUCAUCAUUUUUACAGUCGUAGCUGAAAUUGCAUUUGCUAAAUUGCUCUUGUGAAGCAGGCUUUUCAUUCUGAUGGAUUCCCUCCUUCUCAAAGUAUAAUUCGUCUUCUUGUAAAAACACUGAUCUUAAUCCUUAGCCUCCGUUCAGAUUACUAGAUCUUCCAGUUUUAAGGUUCUUUAUCUUAACGCUCUCUGUGGUGACCUAUCUGACCGCAUUCUACUUCUUGUUUCAUGCUGAGGGGUGCCUUACACACUGCCUACUGCCGGACAUAAUGUAGGUCGGACCAAAAAUUCAGUAUAAUUCUGCUUUGUAACUUAGAUGGUAUCAUUAUUUUGUGAGGUAAGGUUAUUCACUGUACCACAGAGCAGUCUUCUGGUACCAGGACCUUUGAAGCAAUUAUGGAAAUGGAGAAAAAACAUUCUGUGGAUUUGAUGUUGCACAGAGCAGGUGCUGAAAUCCUUCUUGUUAGAAACAUGUAAAUGAAAAACGAUCAAGAGGAGGAUAAAUAGGAGAAGAUGGCGUUCCUUUAACAGGCACCGAACUGUGUUUUAUCUAAUAAAAGAUGUAAGAACAAAGGGCAUGGAGGAAGCUAUUUUUUAUCACUAGACUGUGCUCUGAAAGGCAAAACUCGAACAUAAGCAACCAAUUGCACCAACAGCAGUGAGAAGAUGUGACACAUGAGGAUGGCAGAUGCUAUGCUGUCUUCACAGCCUUGAAGAGGGCUGUCUGUUUUGUUAUCAUUUCUAGCUUAGGACUUGGGCGAGUAUGUCUAAUGUCUGCAUGUUCAGGUUAGUUUUGCAAGCAAGUUAACAGUGCUUCAGAAGUGGUGAGGAAAAGUAUAAAAGGCCUUCAGACAUGUCCUUGUGUUGGAAUGCAUGCAUAAGUAGCUGGGAUGUGGAAGAGAUACCACCACUCGCCAGCACUGCACCUGAGAGAAGAGCUGUGUCGCAGAGAGCACAGUGCUAUCCAUUGAGACUCCAUUUCCUUUGAUAUCCACAUUCAUUUCAUUCUCUUUCAAUCCCUGAGGAGAAGUUCCAGAGUGGGAUGUGGACCUCAGUACACCACCACACAUGAGGAAAGGGGAAAGAAGACAUGCGGAGGACAUGAAUUUUCCCAGUAGUUUCUCACCAUAUACAAGGAUAUACUUCUAAUGGCUGCAAACAUUUUGAUUCAUCUCAACUUUCUCCGGAAGUGUAAUUUUCUAUUGAUAAGACUGUGUAGCUACGUGUUAUUUUUAGAAAAGCAGUUGAUAGUUUGCCCCAUCCUCUCAGGCAUUCUGCUGCUGACUCAAAUGGCUGACGUCUUCCUAAAAUGCGUACGUAGCCUGUUUUAACCAGGAAUUGAUUGGGCUUGACAAGAUAGAACUGUGUGUGGUGCAGAAGAUCAGAUGUAUGAUCAUAAUUGGUCUGCUUGGCCUUAGAUCAUUGGAUUUACCUGGGUUCUGAGUCUCCAUUCAGCGUGAUUCAAGAGUGUAAAAGCCAGAGCUCCAUAAAAUGGGCAUCGUACAUUCAACCAAAAGGAGAAUGGCUGAGUAUAGACAUAUGGCGGGUUCAUUUUUUUUCACGCUGUUGAUAAUCUCAAAGAACACGUAGUAACGGAACAAAUCAGCAUGUUGGUGGAGGUUCCUCUGCCACCCACACCAAAUGAUAUUUUGGGGCAUAUAAAUAGGAGUCAAUUACAAUAACACAUCCCUUUCAUUCUGAGUAAUUGCUACUAAAAUCCAAGAUGACUGCUGUCAAAAGGGGAUGUGCAAAGGCACUAGAAUUCUUUCUGCUUUAGAAUAGUUAUAUACUGUAAAUACAUGCAAGAGAAAGCAUAUUUCUUAACAACCUUUUUGGAGAAGUAACUUCUAGUGGAAAUAGACAUAUCUUUCCAUUUUCUGACAUAGUUUAAAUGUUUAAGGACAGGUGACCUAGGAUCACCCAAGUUAGAUGGCAAAGCUUUAUUUUACGAUAUAGAUUUAUAAUGAAAUCUUGCAUUUUGACAAUUGAAUUAAAACAUUCCUUUCACAAUCACAUGGAAGUUCUCUGUUCUGAUAUUUUCUCAUGCAAUUAAGUGAUUCUGCAAAAGUUUAACAUACAUAGAGCCAAUGUAGUGACUAAGAUUAGCAUAAAAUAUUGGAAGAAAUGUGUUCCAAAUCUGGGAAUGCAUUUUAUUGUUCUCCAAUAUUAAGAGUACUGGGGCAACUGAUGAGCUCAAGGUGAAAUCGUAGCCCCACCAAAGUGAUACCAGGUACUUCCCCUGUAGUGAACAGAAUCUUUUUAAGAUUAUGACUGAUGAGAUACACAAAGCAUGCUUUGUCUCCCUCAAACAAGGAGGAAGAAAUGAAAUGCCCUCUUUCCACUAUGUAAAUUCUGCAGGCAGUUUACUGCAUUUAAUGAACUGUUACAGCAUAUGCAGAUGAACACUUCCCACCCGCUCUCCACAGAUCUG